rnacentral:rRNA from 1 species
GCUUGGUUGGUGAGGUUACGGCUCACCAAGGCGACGACGGGUAGCCGGCCUGAGAGGGUGUCCGGCACAUGGAACUGAAUACGACCAGAUCCUACGAGGCAGCAGUGGGAUAUGGCACAAUGGGCGCAGCUGAUGCAGCGACGCGCGUGAGGGAUGACCGCUCGGGUGUAAACCUCUUUCGCAGGACGAAGCGUGAGUGACGGUACCUGAGAGAAGCACGGCCAACUACGUGCCAGCAGCCGCGGUAAUACGUAGGGUGCGAGCGUGUCCGGAAUUACUGGGCGUAAAGAGCUCGUAGGUGGUUGUCGCGUUGUUCGUGAAAACUCACAGCUUAACUGUGGGCGUGCGGGCGAUACGGGCAGACUUGAGUACUGCAGGGGAGACUGGAAUUCCUGGUGUAGCGGUGGAAUGCGCAGAUAUCAGGAGGAACACCGGUGGCGAAGGCGGGUCUCUGGGCAGUAACUGACGCUGAGGAGCGAAAGCGUGGGGAGCGAACAGGAUUAGAUACCCUGGUAGUCCACGCCGUAAACGGUGGGUACUAGGUGUGGGUUUCCUUCCUUGGGAUCCGUGCCGUAGCUAACGCAUUAAGUACCCCGCCUGGGGAGUACGGCCGCAAGGCUAAAACUCAAAGAAAUUGACGGGGGCCCGCACAAGCGGCGGAGCAUGUGGAUUAAUUCGAUGCAACGCGAAGAACCUUACCUGGGUUUGGCAUGCACAGGACGUGCCUAGAGAUAGGUAUUCCCUUGUGGCCUGUGUGCAGGUGGUGCAUGGCUGUCGUCAGCUCGUGUCGUGAGAUGUUGGGUUAAGUCCCGCAACGAGCGCAACCCUUGUCUCAUGUUGCCAGCACGUAAUGGUGGGGACUCGUGAGAGACUGCCGGGGUCAACUCGGAGGAAGGUGGGGAUGACGUCAAGUCAUCAUGCCCCUUAUGUCCAGGGCUUCACACAUGCUACAAUGGCCGGUACAAAGGCUGCGAUGCCGUGAGUGAGCGAAUCCUUUCAAGCCGUCUCAGUUCGGAUCGGGGUCUGCAACUCGACCCGUGAGUCGGAGUCGCUAGUAUCGCAGAUCAGCAACGCUGCGGUGAAUACGUUCCCGGCCUUGUAACACGCCGUCACGUCAUGAAAGUCGGUAACCGAACCCGUGGCCUACCCUUGGGACGACCAUCAAGGUGAUCGGCAAUUGGGACGAAGUCGUAACAACAGAACC